UACGUAGGCAGCAAGCGUUGUUCGGAGUUACUGGGCGUAAAGGGUGUGUAGGCGGUUGUUUUAAGUUUGGUGUGAAAUCUCCCGGCUCAACUGGGAGGGUGCGCCGAAUACUGAAUGACUAGAGUGCGGGAGAGGUGAGUGGAAUUCCUGGUGUAGCGGUGAAAUGCGUAGAUAUCAGGAAGAACACCCGUGGCGAAGGCGGCCCACUGGGCCGGUACUGACGCUGAGGCACGAAGGCGUGGGGAGCGAACGGG
rnacentral:rRNA from 1 species